CCUCUCUCUCUCUCUCUCUCUCUCUAUGUAUCACCCUCAACCCUCUAAAAUGAAAAUGUUCUCAUGUUGAUUUAGAGUGUUUAUUUUAAAACACUUUUAUCAUCAUCUCUGCGUUACAGGUUCCCUGUAAUUGCUGGGUAUGAACUGAAAGACCUGCAUAACACAUAAAUAAAUAUUUGUGUCAUACAAAAGGAAUGCAUGUGACCGAGGUCAAGCAGAAAAUAAGAAAUCGAAUGAAUUGCCUUUAUUGUGAGUACUUUUCAUGGUGCCUUUUUUCUAUUCAUAGGCAGACCAAUCAGAGACAGGCUUUUGUUCACGUUAUCAUGCUGUUCAUUUAUCUCAUUGCCGGAAAGUCAUGUUCUGAUAACGUCAUCAUAUCAUCUGAUUGUGUAAUCAAACGUUAUGCUACAAAAUGCACUCAGUCAUUUUACAAAGGAACAGACGACAUUGAGGAAGAAAUGGUUAGUACCCAGACUGUAUUUAUAGAACCUUAUAAAACAACUCCAAACUCAGAACUAUUAAUAAUAUUACAACGAAAGAAACAUCAAAGUGUGCGGAUAUGUCAUUCAAUUUUCCGAGGAUUGGUGUCUCUUCCAGCACCUUGCAUUUCUCCUUGCCUCAACUUUGGUUUGUUUUAGAAAGUGAGAGCUGGUUUUCUCUCCCAUUAUACUUGAGCCUGCAGCAAUAGCAUUCACUUCAAACAAGUGGACUCCAAUCCUCUUGUUUUAUUUGUUUGUUUCUCUGGAAAGUGUGAAAUGUUGUUGAGCUCUCGAGGGACAUUGGACUUGGUCUAUGGUGAGGAUCUCCAGGCACGACAGUCAGUGACUUAGCUAAGCCAGCCAGGCACCGAGUAAGGGGAUGGGUUCUCAUUUAGCCAGGCAUUGCUGCUCUUGUUUGUGGUUGUCCCUGACAGCGUCGGCGACUCCAGUCCAAAGCACCUGUGUUUGCUCUCUAGCUUUCCUCCAAUCUGCUGGAAAAAGGCUGUGAGCAUGUGACAUGGCCAGCAGAUAGACUGGGCACCAUGGGAAUACAAGCCAAAGCUUUUAGAACAGUUAAUCAUUAACGGUGCCUUUCUUUUGUCCCUAUUCAGUGCCGUCUGACACACUUUGAUAUUUCAUAGAUGCAGACAAGGUCGGAUACAGACAUAGCCAGGUAGACAAGCAGAGAACACAGUGCCUCUAUGAUCUGAGGUGAUGAAGGGUGAAGGUCGAAGGCAAAACUCCAUCCAUCCCAUUGGUCCCCUUUCAUGCAUGAGUCAAGGAAGGCCGUCUUAUCUGUAGUGGAUAAAGAAAAAAUAACACAAGAGAUUAUCUACAACAAAACACCUUUGCUAUAGCAUAUUUCAAAAAAGCAGCUGCAAUUGUUUUCC
ensembl:lncRNA